CCCAGACUCCUACGGGAGGCAGCAGUAAGGGAUAUUGGUCAAUGGGGGAAACCCUGAACCAGCAACGCCGCGUGAGGGAAGACGGUUUUCGGAUUGUAAACCUCUGUCCUCUGUGAAGAUGAUGACGGUAGCAGAGGAGGAAGCUCCGGCUAACUACGUGCCAGCAGCCGCGGUAAUACGUAUGGUGCAAGCGUUAUCCGGAUUUACUGGGUGUAAAGGGAGCGCAGGCGGCACGGCAAGCCUGAUGUGAAAGCCCGCGGCCCAACCGCGGGACUGCAUUGGGAACUACCGGGCUGGAGUGCAGGAGGGGCAGGCGGAAUUCCUGGUGUAGCGGUGAAAUGCGUAGAUAUCAGGAGGAACACCGGUGGCGAAGGCGGCCUGCUGGACUGCGACUGACGUUGAGGCCCGAAAGCGUGGGGAGCAAACAGGAUUAGAUACCCGAGUAGG
rnacentral:rRNA from 1 species